GGUAUGCAUGGGUGACUGCUAGUCUUCCAUAAGCAACCUUGCCUGGACUUGUGCCUUGGAGGGUAACUUUCUAGGUGCAAUCUCAUGGUCAUUCAUGAUGGAAGGGGGUCUUUACCCUUUACCCUUUUUACAUAUUCAAGGUGCAUGUCUGAGUGGUUCAAGCAUCAGGCUCACAAACAUCAGGUACACCUGCUCCAAGAAUUGAACAUACAACCUUAUGACCUUGAGCUCAAUAUCUCAACAUUUUUGGAACCAGCAUACCUUAGACUUGCUCUGAUUCUAUGAUACAAAAAUCCCUGAUUUAAAGUGAUCUAAAUUAAAACCUUCCAUUGGAACCCUACGUUAAUUUAUGUUAGUUAUUUUUACCAAAUUCUUGAUUAUUUUCCAAAAAAAUUUAACCCUUUAUUGUUCAGAUCUCUCUGCUUUGAGACUUCAAUGAUGUGAUAAUAUUUUUUUUGAAUGACUUCAUAGAAUAGAUGUAAAAGGCUGGAUCUAGCUAGUUUUAACGUUAAAUAGGUAAAAUUUUCAGCCGAAUGUGACCGGUUUAAAUGCCAAAGGGUUAAACAAUGUUUUUCUACAGAACUAAGAUACCAAAAAGGUUAACCCUUUUUAUGUAAACCCAUAGGAGACCACUACCUUUGGUUCUUUGAAUACAAAGGCCCUGCUGUAAAGUGAGCUAAAUUAAAAUCUUUGUCAAAAUUUCAUGUUAAUUUGUGUUCCGAACACCAGCUCAAUAACAACAAGGUUUACUAAAUUCAUCGUAAUUUUCAAAAUCAAUUGAAACAAAACCAGUGUAUUUCAAUCGGAAUAUGGAAAUAUAAAAACAAAGGACUUGAGCUCAUGUUACUUAAUGGUAGACCAAGAAAUAAACCUAAAAUGGUUGCAACAAAUCCUGUGUGUUUGUAAAUGGUUAAAAACAGCUCUUUUAUAAUAUAGCGUAUUUUAUAAUAUAUUGUUUUGCCACUCAGUGGUUCCAGAUCAGAUCACUUGCCAAAAAAAA